rnacentral:rRNA from 1 species
UACGGAGGAUGCGAGCGUUAUCCGGAUUUGUUGGGUUUAAAGGGUGCGCAGGCGGAUUUUUAAGUCAGCGGUCAAAUCGUGGGGCUCAACCCCAUCCAGCCGUUGAAACUGGGGAUCUAGAGUGUGCGAGAGGUAUGCGGAAUGCGUGGUGUAGCGGUGAAAUGCAUAGAUAUCACGCAGAACCCCGAUUGCGAAGGCAGCAUACCGGUGCACAACUGACGCUCAGGCACGAAAGCGUGGGUAUCGAACAGG